rnacentral:misc_RNA from 1 species
GAUGAAGAACGUAGCGAAAUGCGAUACGUAGUGUGAAUUGCAGAAUUCAGUGAAUCAUCGAAUCUUUGAACGCACAUUGCGCCCUUUGGUAUUCCAAAGGGCAUGCCUGUUCGAGCGUCAUUUGUACCCUCAAGCUUUGCUUGGUGUUGGGCGUCUUGUCUCCAGUCCGCUGGAGACUCGCCUUAAAGUCAUUGGCAGCCGGCCUACUGGUUUCGGAGCGCAGCACAAGUCGCACUCUUUUCCAGCCAAGGUCAGUGUCCAACAAGCCUUUUUUCAACUUUUGACCUCGGAUCAGGUAGGGAUACCCGCUGAACUUAAGCAUAUCAAUGAGCGGAGGA